rnacentral:lncRNA from 1 species
UUUUUGGGGUGAAUUCUGGGGAUUUGGGGUUUUUUGGGAUUUUCUUGGGUUUUCGUUGGGUUUCGGUUGGGUUUUGUUGGGUUCUCGUUGGGUUUUUGUUGGGU